rnacentral:rRNA from 1 species
GACGAACGCUGGCGGCGUGCUUAACACAUGCAAGUCGAACGGAAAGGCCCUGCUUUUGUGGGGUGCUCGAGUGGCGAACGGGUGAGUAACACGUGAGUAACCUGCCCUUGACUUUGGGAUAACUUCAGGAAACUGGGGCUAAUACCGGAUAGGAGCUCCUGCUGCAUGGUAGGGGUUGGAAAGUUUCGGCGGUUGGGGAUGGACUCGCGGCUUAUCAGCUUGUUGGUGGGGUAGUGGCUUACCAAGGUUUUGACGGGUAGCCGGCCUGAGAGGGUGACCGGCCACAUUGGGACUGAGAUACGGCCCAGAAGCCUACGGGAGGCAGCAGUGGGGAAUAUUGCACAAUGGGCGGAAGCCUGAUGCAGCAACGCCGCGUGCGGGAAGACGGCCUUCGGGUUGUAAACCGCUUUCGCCUGUGACGAAGCGUGAGUGACGGUAAUGGGUAAAGAAGCACCGGCUAACUACGUG